AGGAUUAUAGUUUAAAAAAAACAAUUGAUUUGCAAUCAAUUAAUAUUAAUUUAUUAAUUUAUCUUA
rnacentral:tRNA from 1 species